rnacentral:rRNA from 1 species
GACGAACGCUGGCGGCGUGCUUAACACAUGCAAGUCGAACGGGGUGUUUAUUUCGGUAAACACCAAGUGGCGAACGGGUGAGUAACGCGUAAGCAAUCUACCUUCAAGAUGGGGACAACACUUCGAAAGGGGUGCUAAUACCGAAUGAAUGUAAGAGUAUCGCAUGAGACACUUACUAAAGGAGGCCUCUGAAAAUGCUUCCGCUUGAAGAUGAGCUUGCGUCUGAUUAGCUAGUUGGUGAGGGUAAAGGCCCACCAAGGCGACGAUCAGUAGCCGGUCUGAGAGGAUGAACGGCCACAUUGGGACUGAGACACGGCCCAGACUCCUACGGGAGGCAGCAGUGGGGAAUCUUCCGCAAUGGGCAAAGCCUGACGGAGCAACGCCGCGUGAGUGAUGACGGCCU